GUAUGGUCUCCUUAUUUACCAAUGUUACUUGAGCUUUCUUUGACAAUCAGCCAACUUAUACAGAAAUGACGAAAACCAAGAUUGAGAUUGAUACUGACAGGUUCCUAGUGAGUAUUUGACAUUGAGGCACAAGUUUUUGGAAACAAAUAGAGAAUAUAAAGUCUUUGACCGAGAAGUUUCAUGUUUUGUAAUCAAAUGUUGAUGUUGUUUGAAUAUUAGUUCGGUACGAUAUUUUCUGAGUUGAAAUGUUGGUAGUGUGGAUUUAUUACUUUGUAGUUUUUAUACUAUACCGAUGUAUGUUGGCACUUAUCAUUAUGGUUGAUUAUGCUCAACAUUUUCACUUUGAUAUUGUGUAUUAAAAUUUGACU